rnacentral:rRNA from 1 species
AUUGAACGCUGGCGGCAUGCUUUACACAUGCAAGUCGAACGGUAACAGGCCUUCGGGUGCUGACGAGUGGCGCACGGGUGAGUAAUGCAUCGGAACGUGCCCAGAGGUGGGGGAUAACGCAGCGAAAGCUGUGCUAAUACCGCAUGUGAUCUGAGGAUGAAAGCGGGGGACCAGGCAGCAAUGUUUGGCCUCGCGCCUUUGGAGCGGCCGAUGUCCGAUUAGGUAGUUGGUGGGGUAAAGGCCUACCAAGCCGACGAUCUGUAGCUGGUCUGAGAGGACGACCAGCCACACUGGGACUGAGACACGGCCCAGACUCCUACGGGAGGCAGCAGUGGGGAAUUUUGGACAAUGGGCGCAAGCCUGAUCCAGCAAUGCCGCGUGCGGGAAGAAGGCCUUCGGGUUGUAAACCGCUUUUGUACGGAACGAAAAGGCUCUGGCUAAUACCUGGGGCUGAUGACGGUACCGUAAGAAUAAGCACCGGCUAACUACGUG